UACAGAGGGUGCAAGCGUUGUUCGGAAUUAUUGGGCGUAAAGGGCGCGUAGGCGGUGCGGUAAGUCUUUUGUGAAAUCUCCGGGCUCAACUCGGAGUCUGCAGGAGAAACUGCCGUGCUUGAGUGUGGGAGAGGUGAGUGGAAUUCCCGGUGUAGCGGUGAAAUUCGUAGAUAUUGGGAAGAACACCAGUGGCGAAGGCGGCUAACUGGUCCAGCACUGACGCUGAGGUGCGAAAGCGUGGGGAGCGAACAGG
rnacentral:rRNA from 1 species